rnacentral:tRNA from 1 species
GUCGGGAUAGCACAGUUGGUAGAGCAGAGG